CACCGGGCUGCAGAUGUCUGCGAGAGAACCAACAAACCCUCCUUCCUUCCCGGCAGGGCAGGAAUGGCCUCUUCACAUCAGCAGGAGAGAGUAACAGCAUGGACUGUUGAAAUAAAAAACUGCUUCUUGGAGCUGGACUGCAUGUCAGUGACAAUCCUUAUGUUACUCUAAAUUUUAUGAAGAGACCUUUUGUUGAAACAUCAGAUCAGCUUAAAGUGAGAUUUAGAUACAUGCCCCAAAAAGAGCAUCUUCAUAACUGGGCAAAAUGCUAUGUUAAUGUUGUAUUAAUUAGUCAGUAAUUGUCAGCAGUUACUGUCACUAAGCUGAUCAAUGUUUGGCAACAAAUAUCAGCCACACAAAGUUGGUGCCUCUGAAAUUGCAGUGAUUCCUUUCAAUUUUAAAGUGCUUUCUACCCCCACCUAAAUUUUAUUCUUUAUGUACAAAACAUUGGACCUUGUAAACAUUCUGGAGGUGGAAUUUAGCGGGAAUCUGACCCGAAAGACACUGUGUGGAAUGAAAAGAAGUGAAAGCUUGUGUUACCUCUUGAGGUUCCCGAAUGUAUCUACAGUGUUACCAGAAGGUCCAGGAAGUUGCAUCUGUCAAGUGUGAAAUUCUUAAGCUCCAGAAAUGCCCAUUAAGAGAAUUAGGAAACACCUGGAAAUUUUCAUCCACCAGAACACUAUCAUCUUUUCAUCAUAUGCAAUGUGUGUAACCUAUGCACACAUUGGUUUGUUUAUUUAUUUAUUUAUUUAUUUAUUUUUCCAGAAGUUUUUUAUUGCCUUUUUGUUCAAAUGCAAAUUUUAUAUUUUUGUCACUUUGGAGGUGUGAAAGCAAUACUUGUUCCAUAUUAACAAUAUGCUCAUUCAUUUCCACUGGUAUGGUUUUUGGUCUUUGAAAGUGAAUUUUCUCCUGAAUAGAUCUAUAAUGACAUUACAUCCAGUCUGUCCUAUGGUUCUAUAAAUAUGAAAAUUAGAUGACAAUAAAAGGUUAAAAAUAGUAUAAAAAUCAUUGAAUAAAUAGUAAUAAUAAUGAUAAA